UUCCUAUGACAGCAGCCUGCCGCUUGGACACAGCAGUCUAACAUCUGGAUGAAUAUGUGUAUGAUGUUCCUGAGAAUGUUUCCUCAACAUUUACCAAGAGAAUUGCCUCACUCUUCUGGAUGAUGUGGAUCAUAGAUUGGAAUAUCUGAAAAUCCAGGAUGAGCAGCACCUGGUAAUUGAAGUUUGAAAUAAAGAUAUGAGUUGGCCUGAGGAAAUGUCCUUUAUAGCAAACAGUAGUAAAAUAGAUAGACACAAGGUGGACCAUAGCAACAUAUGCUCCCCAAUUUAAUGGGUUCCAGCAACAGGACUCCCAGGAACUUCUGGCUUUUCUCUUGGAUGGUCUUCAUGAAGAUCUCAUCCGAGUGCAUGAGAAGCCAUACGUGGAGCUGAAGGGCAGUGAUGGCCAACCAGACUGGGGUGUAGCUGCAGAGUGUGUAUUGCCUUGGAUGAUGAAGCAGUCACCUGUCAGGUCCCUCUGUGUGAAGAUCUGAGAUGUCUGCUGUCUGGUCCUGAUCAUCCUGAUGCUGCCAACAAUCCAAGAUCUAAGUAUUUUCUUGCCUGGGGAGCUGAGGCAUUCACUUCCGGUCAGCAUUACUGGGAGGUGGCAGACUGUGAUAACUUGACAAUUGGGGUUUGUAAUGAUUCUCGGACAAGGAAGUAUGACAUGGUGGUUGACU